UCAGGAUGUGUCAGUCUCACGCACGUUGUGGUAACCUGUACAAAGUGUUUAUCGCCUGAGGAGUGCUCACAACUCUCAUUGUGAUCCAUUCCCACUAACUUCUACACUAUUCCAUUAGCUCUCAUGAGCUCUCUCUCCAGGACUGUUCCUGUGAAGCCUCCCAAUGUCACCCUUCCAAGAGCCAAGCUGUCACGGAAGACCAGGCAGAGCUAUCACCCAGGGAGAAAGCUCUUCUGUGGGCCAGGAGGGUUCCUUCCUCUGUAGGUCCCUGAGGCUGGGAUUUGCACCUCCUGCCCUCCUCUACAGGCCUAACUCUGAGCUGAUGUUUACAGAGUUCCCAGGGCCUCACCUCAUUCUCCAAAGUGAAGUUAACGUUUGGCCCAAGCAGCCACAACACCUGGAAGAACAAAGGAAACAGCUCUGGCCUCGGGGAGGAAUCCUGACUGAGAAACAUUCAGCCAGUAAGAGUGCUAAAGCAUGUGGUGAGAGAGACUAUUGCUUUGAAUUCACUUAGUUUGUUAAGGAUCCACCUGUAGAUGACAAAGAGGAGUGUGUUUGGAUGACCCUUGAACCUGACCUCUACUUGCUCCACCUGAUGUGUGGAGUGGAAUUCCCUUCCACAGAUACCAGCCAGUGCUGUCAUCUUGCAUUGCGUGCUCCUUCGUGCCCAGAGUCUGACACCUCAUGUCAUUGAGAGGAAGUCUCUUCAGAACAAGGAUAAAGCACUGGUGAGAUGACGGCAAAGCUGGCUGUUCUGUACUUUUGUUUCUGAAUAAGUAAGGGACUUCUCCAAUGCUGUAAUUCCGACACCUUUCCUGAGUGGUAACUUCACCCCUGCAAAUUUAAACAGCAGCUGCAAGUCUUUGGGACCCACUCACCCUUUCCUCCACCUUCCCAUCUCCAGAUUACAGGAGACAUGCAGGAAUGGGGAGAACAGGGCAGCAGAGAUUUCCCACCCCUCUGGCUCUGUACAGGAGGUCCAGGGCAUGCAUGGGAGCUGACAUGAAGGCCAUGGAGCCCGCUGACACACCAUAAGUAGAUGCAACUCUCUCAUUGACUUAACCUUUUUGUAUCUGCUUUGUGUAUUUGCUGUGCUCCUAGUAGUUGGAAGUGCCUAGAACAGUGGUCCCCACACUUUCCAGUGUCGCACCCCUACUUACCCUAUCUCUGCCCACCCCACCCCGGGGCCAGGAGUGGGGCCACGGCUACCCGGGGGGGAUGAAAAAGACAGCCAGGAGUAAGGGGGCCAAGGCUGGGGGCAGGGCCAGGUGUGGAGCCAGAGCCAUGGUGGGGGGGGGGAAACAGCUGGGACUGGAGCCUGGUAGCACUCCCUCCCCACCCCUCCUGGGGACUGGCCCAGACCCUGGCAUGCCUCCCCAAACGUUCCUCUGUGCCCCACAGUUUGGGGACCUCUGGCCUAGAAACAUAUAAAUAUGUCAUUUAAAUUAGUAGUCUAGUCUGCACCUCUCUGUAGUGUGGAGACUGAAUUGUACAGAAGUGUAUCUUGAGAUACUUGAGAUAUCAUGGCAAUGUCACAGUAUAAGAAGAUAGAUAGAACAGAAUAUGUAGGCUUUUUAGUCUGUUAGACUGAUGGUUGGAUCACCAUCACUGGUCGUGAUAUGCAGAACCUAAAAGUAGUUCUGAAGAUAUACAACACAUUGUCCUUGGAUUCCUGCAGUCAGGAUUGGAUUCCAGUCAGAAUGGAAUGAGUUAGCAUUCACUUUAAAUCCCAUUGCUUGUAGCAUAGUAUUAACAGUAAAAAAAUUUUAUUGAUAAGUCACUCAAGUUCAGUAUGACUUUAUCAUGCUAUAAAAUAAAAUGAGUCAUAAUAUCCUAGAGAGGAAAAGAAUAGCUAGCUAGUUGGUCCUAUCUCUUCUGCACAGCAUUUUGAGGUUCUUAGCUGUCUGAUUUGUCAUAGUUUUGUGGCUUGUAACAUACUGGCUAAAUUAUUCAUAUUUUACUGAAUAAGUGAUUGUUGUCUCUCUGGGUAUUCUAUAGUGACAAGAUCAAAACUCAUGCCAGACAAGUGGCUGUUGUAUGCAAAUGUUAAUUUAAAACUUUAACUGAGAGGUACCAGUAUUUUCAGGUGCUAGGACAAAUAAAAUAAUUCCCACAUAAAACACUUUGCAGGCACAUAUUAGUGGUUUUUUUCACCUAAUAUAAUUCAGGAGCAUUGAGAUUUUUUUUUAAUUACCCUCCUGAUGUUAGGAACUACAGUGGGUUGAAAGAAUUUCAGUAGAACACUUAUAUCAAAAAAUACAGUUUAAAUCUAAAUGUUUCAUGGGCAUGUCACUUUCAUUUGCUCACAAAGUGGAGUAGUAAAUGACUGGCCCCAUAUGGAAAAGUCCUGCUGUAUUUACUAGUGAGGUCUUUUUUUUGAAUUCCUGACUCCCUUUAUUUCAUCUGGGCAGUUCUAUUAUUGCAUAAUAGAAGGUUUGUGCAUUAAAUUUCCUAGGGCUUAUAAAUCAAAGAGGGAAAACAUCUCACUAGUGUAUCUUUCCAAGAAACAAUAGCAUGAUUCUUUUAAGUACCCACAUUGGAGUGUCUAAAUUGCACCUUCCCUAAACAGCACCACUAAUUCACAUGCACUUGAAGGUGUGUAUGCUCAGUAGAGAUGCUCAUUUCAGAAGAAUUGCACCUUGCUCAUUUCACUUUGCUCAUUCAUGAGAUGCUAAUUUCAGAAGAACUGCACCUUGCCUUCACAAAAUCCCUACCAGAACAGAACUAGAUGAAUGCUGUCAUUGCUAACUAACCUUGAGAAGUGCAAAUUUGUGAAAUUGCACUACACUUCUUAUCUGCAACCUUUUUUCUUCUCCCACAAUCAUUAUAGUUGAGUAAGAUUAUGUAAUUAUAAAAGGAAAUCCAAAGAAACUGAAAAUAAUUAUCUGAUUCUUUUUCUCCUUUUCUAACCCCCACUAAAGCAGAAGAUGGAAAGAAGCCAAUACAUUAUUUUAAAGUUUUUUUAAAAAAUGUGUCCUAUAUGUAUGUAUUAUGUAUUAAUGUAUUAUUAGGUAUUACUGUUUGCAAUGUUAAUGAGCUGGAUUCUGGCACCCUUUGUUACUUGAAUAUACCUCCUUUUCUGGAGUCAUUGGGACUUUUAGUGGAGAAAAGUGCUGCUCAAUAACAGCCAAAGGUUCAGAAUCUGCCUGUCAGUGGCUGAAUACACCAGAUGGGUAUUCCAUGCAGACAUGACUUCCUCCUUGGAGUGCUCAGAUCAUUAGUUUCUGUUCUGAAAACAACUCAUGUCAUGGCUGGUGGAUCUGCCCAUCCGUGGUCUCUCACAGGCACAUAUUCUUCCCAGUGUACGCCCCAAGUAACUGGUUCAAGCGCUGGGGAACUCCAAGGGGGCCGGAAGGAGAGAAGCCAUAUACCCACCCCUUUGCAACCAUUAAGCCUCAGAGAGGGAAAAGAGCUGCUCCACAACUGCUAUUGCAAUCUCAGGGGCUGGCACAGGCGCCACAUCCUAGUGCACUGCCUCUGCAGGGCAAAAGGAGUGAAGGAGCUGUGUAUCAGUGGAUCAUCCCCACAUCUGUCCUUCCACCAUGUUACCAGACCCUCUCCUUGGCAGCAUAGAGGGAGACCCUGCAGAGUCUGACUUGCUCAAAUUCAGCCUGCCCCAGCGCAAUGAGUCUAAUGCACAUAUGGCUUACACCCAUACAGGUCCUGUAUUGCUGCUUCUGGAGACUGAAGCCUUCUGUCCACAGAAGAGAUACAUCUCAGACUGCAGCAGUCCAAGCUUCCUCAAUCUGCUCCCUCUGUGUAUGCUUCAGCCCUGACCUGGAGGUCUGGCUGUGUUUGGCUGCAGUAUGUCACACCCACGAGCAGGGAAUGCCUGCUGGCAGAAUAAGAAAGAGAAGGGGAGAGACUGGAAAAUCUACCAGAGACAUGGGACUGAAAGCAGUACAUCCAUGCAGGGACAGUACCUGGAACAGCAGGCACAUACUAGGAAAAGAGAACAUUAUGGACCAAGUGAGACAGUAUUAGGUUCAUACCGGGAAUGGAAGGCAACUUGGAGGAUCAGUCAGUGUGAUCAAAAGGCUUCAGAAUUUGAGGUCAAACAGACAGAGCAAUGGCAACGACUUAACCGUGGGUAACCUUAGCUGUGCAUUGCCUGGUUUUCAGAAGUUUGAGUUUUGCUCAGCUAAAUGCCCUGCAAGAGGUCAAUAAACCACCAAGCAACUUUAACUCUGCAGUAAUGUAUUUUUUUGCCAUUGAAUUUCCUAAUGUUUUGAACAGGAAUAAGAUACGUUGUUGACAGGCAGUAGUCAUUUAGGCAAUUGUGCAUAUCAUGUCUUGCCAUUUGCAUAUCAAUCCAGCCAGCACAUUCCCACCCCUCCCACACACCCACAAACAGCAGCUGAGCCCCACCAGCCCUGCUUCGACACACAUCCCCAGCCAUGCCCCUGACCUGUUCCCAGCAUUCCCCGCUUCAACCUGCCCCCCCCCCACACACACACACACUACUGUACCCAGGCCAUCCCACAACAAGCAGGGAACAUAUGUCUUUGAAGUCAUCACUUCUGGUAUAGAAACAUUUCUCCUAAUGUUACUUCCCCCAUGCUCCCAUAACCUAACUCAAAUGCAGUCCCUAGAGUGAGGGCAAGUAUGUUACAGUGGAAUGAUACCCCUGGUCAUAUUUCAGAAUAAGUGGAUGGUGGAGUUUGUGGCAGGGCCAGCAACUGAGAUCACAGACAGGAUUUCUGUUUCCAAAUACUGACAAUUUUAUGUCAGUAAAGAUCCUCUGACCGCUGUUCAAUAUAUGCAGUCGUGCAAGUAGGGUGGUACUCGCCAGUACACAGUACCAGCAAGAGAUUUUUAGCGGGUACAGGGUACUGGAAAGACUUGGGGCUAGCACCCCUGCCCCCAGAGCCAGGAUGGGGCUGUGCUCUGCUCCUUAAAGGAGCAGAACUUGGCUAGGGAGGGCAUUCAUUCUUUA